rnacentral:piRNA from 1 species
UUCCCAACUCUUGAAGAUGGCGGC